rnacentral:rRNA from 1 species
AUUGAACGCUGGCGGCAUGCUUUACACAUGCAAGUCGAACGGCAGCACAGGGAGCUUGCUCCCGGGUGGCGAGUGGCGCACGGGUGAGUAAUACAUCGGAACGUGUCCUAUUGUGGGGGAUAACUGCUCGAAAGGGUGGCUAAUACCGCAUGAGACCUGAGGGUGAAAGCGGGGGAUCGCAAGACCUCGCGCAAUUGGAGCGGCCGAUGCCCGAUUAGCUAGUUGGUGAGGUAAAGGCUCACCAAGGCGACGAUCGGUAGCUGGUCUGAGAGGACGACCAGCCACACUGGGACUGAGACACGGCCCAGACUCCUACGGGAGGCAGCAGUGGGGAAUUUUGGACAAUGGGGGCAACCCUGAUCCAGCCAUGCCGCGUGCAGGAUGAAGGCCUUCGGGUUGUAAACUGCUUUUGUCAGGGACGAAAAGGAUCGUGUUAAUACCAUGGUCUGCUGACGGUACCUGAAGAAUAAGCACCGGCUAACUACGUGCCAGCAGCCGCGGUAAUACGUAGGGUGCAAGCGUUAAUCGGAAUUACUGGGCGUAAAGCGUGCGCAGGCGGUUCUGUAAGACAGAUGUGAAAUCCCCGGGCUCAACCUGGGAAUUGCAUUUGUGACUGCAGGACUAGAGUUCAUCAGAGGGGGGUGGAAUUCCAAGUGUAGCAGUGAAAUGCGUAGAUAUUUGGAAGAACACCAAUGGCGAAGGCAGCCCCCUGGGAUGCGACUGACGCUCAUGCACGAAAGGGUGGGGAGCAAACAGG